GGAGGCUAUAUACAGGUGGUACCAGUACAGAGUCAAUGUGGAGGCUAUAUACAGGGGGUACCAGUACAGAGUCAAUGUGGAGGCUAUAUACAGGGGGUACCGAUACAGAGUCAAUGUGGAGGCUAUAUACAGGGGGUACCGAUACAGAGUCAAUGUGGAGGCUAUAUACAGGGGGUACCGAUACAGAGUCAAUGUGGAGGUUAUAUACAGGGGGUACCGGUACAGAGUCAAUGUGGAGGCUAUAUACAGGGGGUACCGGUACAGAGUCAAUGUGGAGGCUAUAUACAGGGGGUACCGGUACAGAGUCAAUGUGGAGGUUAUAUACAGGGGGUACCGGUACAGAGUCAAUGUGGAGGCUAUAUACAGGGGGUACCGGUACAGAGUCAAUGUGGAGGUUAUAUACAGGGGGUACCGGUACAGAGUCAAUGUGGAGGCUAUAUACAGGGGGUACCAGUACAGAGUCAAUGUGGAGGCUAUAUACAGGGGGUACCGAUACAGAGUCAAUGUGGAGGCUAUAUACAGGGGGUACCGGUACAGAGUCAAUGUGGAGGCUAUAUACAGGGGGUACCGGUACAGAGUCAAUGUGGAGGCUAUAUACAGGGGGUACCGGUACAGAGUCAAUGUGGAGGCUAUAUACAGGGGGUACCGGUACAGAGUCAAUGUGGAGGUUAUAUACAGGGGGUACCGGUACAGAGUCAAUGUGGAGGCUAUAUACAGGGGGUACCGGUACAGAGUCAAUGUGGAGGCUAUAUACAGGGGGUACCGGUACAGAGUCAAUGUGGAGGCUAUAUACAGGGGGUACCGGUACAGAGUCAAUGUGGAGGUUAUAUACAGGGGGUACCGGUACAGAGUCAAUG